rnacentral:rRNA from 1 species
AUUGAACGCUGGCGGCAGGCUUAACACAUGCAAGUCGAGCGGGGAAGUAUAGCUUGCUAUACGACCUAGCGGCGGACGGGUGAGUAAUGCUUAGGAAUCUGCCUAUUAGUGGGGGACAACAUUCCGAAAGGAAUGCUAAUACCGCAUACGCCCUACGGGGGAAAGCAGGGGAUCUUCGGACCUUGCGCUAAUAGAUGAGCCUAAGUCAGAUUAGCUAGUUGGUGGGGUAAAGGCCUACCAAGGCGACGAUCUGUAGCGGGUCUGAGAGGAUGAUCCGCCACACUGGGACUGAGACACGGCCCAGACUCCUACGGGAGGCAGCAGUGGGGAAUAUUGGACAAUGGGCGAAAGCCUGAUCCAGCCAUGCCGCGUGUGUGAAGAAGGCCUUUUGGUUGUAAAGCACUUUAAGCGAGGAGGAGGCUACUUAGAUUAAUACUCUAGGAUAGUGGACGUUACUCGCAGAAUAAGCACCGGCUAACUCUGUGCCAGCCGCCGCCGUAACAC